rnacentral:rRNA from 1 species
UACGUAGGGUGCGGAGCGUUAAUCGGAAUUACUGGGCGUAAAGCGUGCGCAGGCGGCGCCGCAAGUCGAGUGUGAAAUCCCCGAGCUUAACUUGGGAAUUGCGCUCGAAACUACGGUGCUGGAGUGUGGCAGAGGGAGGUGGAAUUCCACGUGUAGCGGUGAAAUGCGUAGAGAUGUGGAGGAACACCGAUGGCGAAGGCAGCCUCCUGGGCCAACACUGACGCUCAUGCACGAAAGCGUGGGGGAGCAAACAGG